ACAGAGCAUGAAUGAGCCUAUUCAGAGAGAGCUUUUGUGUUCCUCCUUAUUUCUGAGGAUCCCAAGUGGCAACCUGUCACCACUCGGUGUGCCUGCAAUCCUAUGCUUAAGGGGAUGACUGUCAGCAGAUUCUCCAUAACCUCUUCACUACUGAAGAAAGGGAACAUAUUCUCACGAAGGCAACUGAAGCACUCGCCAGAAUAGCUUCAAUGGCUGGUGACCAGAUGACAGAGGCAACUGACCAUGGUCUGCCAAGAAGAAGAACCCAACAGGACUGCAACACAGAGAGAGAAACCCCACUGAAAUGAGUACCAAAGAAGAAAAAGUUAUCAACCCCUGAAGACAGAGAAGAGAGGAGAGCUGAUGGGAGGAAAGGAACGCUGGCCUAGGAGCAUGAAACAAGACACAACCAGAGGACAUGGAGUCACCAAGUAUUGGUGAAAGCCUUUGGGAAAGCACGAAGCUGACAUCCUGAUCCCAGGACCCUUUUCUGCUCUUCUCUUAUGGUCAGCAGUGAUGUAGACCAGAAGCAGGACAUACUUCUUGCUCAUCUGAAAAAGCAACAGUGAGUCACUCAAUAUACACAGUACGUAAGGAGAACUGAAGCAUGUACUGAGCUGGAUUACAAGUCACUCUGCAUCCUGUCUCUUUCCUGACCCCAGGGCAUUUGCAGCUAGAUUACUGCACCCUCUAGGCAUGGCUUUUGACAGAGCAGCUCCCCCCAAAUACCUCUAGUUCUAAAACUGAGGAGCCCCUAAUGAGAAGGCUGCUUUGCUGUCCACUACAACAGCUGUGAAGCUGCUAGUUAGCAAAACCUCCCUUCAUACAAUCUCAGCCUCAUUCUUCCUUUUUCUUUGUUUUAUUUUGGGGGGAGUUUAUUAUAUAUAUAUAUGCUUGCAUGUGGGUAGAUGCUCUUAAUGUGUGUAUGUGUAUGCACUUGUGUGCAUAAUUCUGUAUACUGGCCAGAAUUUAAUGCCAGGUGCCUUCCUCCAUUGUUCUCUACUUUAUAUAUUGAGGCAGGGCUUCUCACAUAAACCCAGAGCUGGCUAAUUUAGGUCCUAUAGCUAAUCAGGGCAUUGCUCUGGGCAUCUCUUGUCUCUUCCUCCAGAGCGCUGGGAUUACAGGUGGGCCACCACACAUGUCUAACAUUUACGUGAAUGCUGGGGAUUUAAACUCUAAUUCUUACACUUCUAGGACAAGUAACUCACUCAUGAGUCAUUUCUGAAAUGAGCUAAAAUCAUUUUUAAGAAUAAAAUUGAUUAUUUAUUUAGGAUAGCAACAUAAAUUACUAACAUUUAUAAUUUUAGAAAGUGGGUAAAUACAAAAGGCUUCACAAAAGCCUGUAGACAAUCACAUCUGUGUGAACAUUAGAAUCAACUAACUGCCCAAUUCAGUAAUAUUUUACUACAUUCUAAAUUCUUUUAUUUUUGAUAUUCUAAUAUAAUUACAUCAUCCCCCUUUCCUUUCCUCCCUCCAUACAUUCUCAUAUACCCCACUGCUUGCUC